GCAGGGUAUGGGAACUAGAUAAUAUCCAUACACCUUGCAGGGUAUGGGAACUAGAUAAUAUCCAUAGGGCAGCCUUACCUUGCAGGGUAUGGGAACUAAAUAACAUCUAUACACCUUGUGGGGUAUGGGAACUAGAUAAUAUCCAUACACCUUGCAGGGUAUGGUAACUAGAUGAUAAUAGGGGUGUGUGAGUCAAUCUCUGAAGUGUUUUUUUAAAUUGUUGUUGGAUUUGAAUUACCUAUCACCAUCAGUAACUAGAACAAUUCCAUGUUUUGAGUGCUGAAAAACAACAGAAAUCUCCCUAGUUAUAGUUAGCUUGUGUAUUAGUAAUUUGCCAUCUUUCUGUAAACAAAUAGGAUUUCUUAUGAUUUUCUUUCAGAUGUUCUUGUCCUUGUUAUUUAUUUGUAAAUUAAAGCCAAGCUAUUGACAUCUUUUCAAGUCAUACUGGUACUUAAUACAACUGUUAAUGAUGAUAAUAUUGACAGUGUGGUGAGUGGUGUAUGAUGAAACAUUGAGGGCCUAUAAUCGUAAGACUGCUACCCUCUGGUCUGUGACAUACCGCUGAGAUAUGAGGUAUGUCCCACCUCUAACAUACAGAGGUGGGAAGUUGGAAGUUAGUUAGGUUAAAAUCAGAUUUGUUAAAUAUAUUUUGACUACAUUCUUAGCGAGUAUUUUCCUGAACACACAGUACAGACUACCUGCAACACUGGACUCGUGCAUUAUCUGUAGUGGAGGUAUGCUGGUGGCCAGUGCGAGUAGUAUCUAAAUUUUGGGGCCUUAUCGCUCGGUCUGCUACUGCUGUCAUGACCCAUCGUCUCUCCUAGCAUAAGAUAAAAGUUGUGAACUUAAGAGAUGUGGAUCCAGCUGACAUAAGAGAAUGUCGAUGUUGUAAGACUCAAAAGAGUUUGCAUUAUCAUCAGGUAUAUAUUUUAUUACAAAUGCUUAGGCACUUCAGAAGGUUCAGAGCACAUUGUAUUUUUUAUCACUUUAUAUUCAGUACAUAGCACUGUAAAUUUAUUGCAUCUUCAUAUCAUCAUGGGGAGAAGUAAUUAUAUAUACCGUAAAUAGAUUGUAUUGAACCAAGUUGUUGCAAUGAACUUAGAAACCUAUUACUCAAUAGCUUUUUAUACAUCUUAUGUUUCUUGUGUAUCAAAUCCCAUUGAAACGACUGUUUUCAUACGCAAGAUACAUAUAUGGUAUGGUCUUUGUUUACAUGUACAGUACUGUACUAAUAUUAUUUUGCAACUCAUGUUCUGAAGUUGUUUAUGUAUACUAUAUUUUUAGCAUUUUGUGUUAUAAGUCGCGGAAACUGGUCCUCGGUAUAGAAAAGUUGCCUGUUUCCAAGCAGGUGGUUUAGUUGGUGUAUACACAUGAUACAUUUUGCCAUUUCAUAUCAUACAGGUGCAAGCAUAAACAAGGGCCAGCAUUGGAAAUGUAUAUUGCAAACGUUUUCAGAUGGGUUUUAGAAUUGCUUAAUUUUUUUAGAUAUUCUUGAAACAUGAUCAUUUAAGGAUAAAUGUAAUACCAAUUCAAGUUUUGCUUACCUUGAACUAGAAUCCUUAAAAUCAAAGAGACAAUUUGACAAUUAGACAAUAUAGAAUAAAAUUCCAUGUGUAGCUCAGGGCACCUUUACUCUAGUAUUUCACUGAGUACCCAACUUUCUGUUAAAAAAGUUGCUGAUCUUGAUGAAAUGAUGAGCAAAGGUGUCCUGUGCCGUGCAAGAUAUUUUUAUUCCAUUGAGCUUUAAUUACUUUUUUCAUAUUUAAGAUGUAUUGAAGUUGUCAGCCAAAUUAGUCUAAGAAGGCAGUAGAAAAUGUGUGGUGAUAGUAGUUUAUAAAUAUUUAUCAUGCAUUGUUUUCCUUUGUAUUUAAUUUGAUUAGACCAACAAUGUGGGUUCCCUGUAUAGUAUUUAGCAGCUUGUGGGGAUGUUCAGUAAUUUAUUUCUUCAAUUCAAGUAGUUACAUAAUGUUGGAAGUGGUGUUGGUACAAAAUUGUAAGAAUAGUCUUAUACAUUUCCAAAACAUUGACUUGUAAAUAUAGGUUAUUAUGGUCUAAAUUAAUUAAUAUUUCUUUCAUGUCAUUGUGCAUAUAUUUUAAACUUUCAAAUAUUGGAACAUAUAUAUAUAUGAAUGUUUGUAAUCCAUAAUUAAAUUGCUUUAUAUUCUUUUGGAAACGUUGUCAGGGUUUAAAUAGUUUGUAACCAUUAAUGCUUGAAACAUUCAAACUGAUGAGAAGGUAAUUUCAUUUAAAUUUUAUCUUGCAUCAUUUGUAUACUUAGGAGGUUGGUUAAAUAAUGAGGAUACUGUGUAUAUAUUUUGUUUGUUCAGUAUUCUUAUGACAUAAAAUUAUCAUAUAUUUAUCAUAGUACUGUAUUUUAGAUUAUAAUAUCAAUGUUA